GUGAUGUCACUGUGGGAACUGCCCUGUGGGGACAAGGACGUCCGUCAUCCUCUGCUCCUGCUCACAGUGACACUGAUCUGGUAACGCCCCCGUCCUAGCCUGACCCUGCCAUGGGCACCAGGCUCCUCUGCUGGGUGGUCCUGGGUUUCCUAGGGACAGAUCACACAGGUGCUGGAGUCUCCCAGUCCCCAAGGUACAAAGUCACAAAGAGGGGACAGGAUGUAGCUCUCAGGUGUGAUCCAAUUUCGGGUCAUGAUUACCUUUACUGGUACCAACAGGCCCUGGGGCAGGGCCCAGAGCUUCUGACUUACUUCAAUUACAAAGCUCAACCAGACAAAUCAGGGCUGCCCAAUGAUCGCUUCUCUGCAGAGAGGCCUGAGGGAUCCAUCUCCACUCUGAAGAUCCAGGGAACAGAGCAACGAGACUCGGCCGUGUAUCUCUGGGCCAGCAGCUUAGCCACAGCGUGGCACGGUCGCCUCCUUCCUGUUUACAAACCUCAUCCUUCUUUCUCUUUGCAGCUCCAAGAGCCCCUUACUUUUUGUCUCUCUUUGCUCCUCACUUUUCAUGGGAAAGAGGUGGAUUUGGACUUCGGCUGUCCUUUGGGUAGAAACAGACCACAGAUUCAUUCCUGAAACACAGUGACUGCAAAUGUAGGUGGUGAAAACAAUCACGGCCCACUGCACUCUAGGAGUCCUCUGAACCAGCUCACUUCUUCAAGCAAGGAGUGGGUGUCUCAGCCUAGGCCUUCAGGGCAGACAUGCAUCUUCUAUACGUUUUGGAGGCUGUGGUGCUGCCCACACCCAUGAGGUUGUCAAGGGAGGGAAACAUGCCUCUUCUCCUGCAUAUGUUGGGGCAUCUGGAAAGUCUGAGGCUACAUACCCAGGAACGUCUUUCUUUCGAAGCUCUUCUAUGCCUGUCACCAUGGAAGUUUUCUGCAACAAAAUAUUGAACCUCUCUUCCU